GGGGAAUUUUCCGCAAUGGGCGAAAGCCUGACGGAGCAAGACCGCGUGAGGGAGGAAGGCUCUUGGGUUGUAAACCUCUUUUCUCAGGGAAGAAAAAAAUGACGGUACCUGAGGAAUAAGCAUCGGCUAACUCCGUGCCAGCAGCCGCGGUAAUACGGAGGAUGCAAGCGUUAUCCGGAAUUAUUGGGCGUAAAGCGUCCGCAGGUGGCACAUCAAGUCUGCUGUCAAAGACCGGGGCUUAACCCUGGAAAGGCAGUGGAAACUGAAGUGCUAGAGUGCAGGAGGGGUAGAGGGAAUUCCCGGUGUAGCGGUGAAAUGCGUAGAUAUCGGGAAGAACAUCGGUGGCGAAGGCGCUCUACUGGACUGCAACUGACACUCACAGGACGAAAGCUAGGGGAGCGAAUGGGAUUAGAUACCCCA
rnacentral:rRNA from 1 species